rnacentral:rRNA from 1 species
UUCCAGUUUGCUUGCAAACUGGAGAUGGCGACCGGCGCACGGGUGAGUAACACGUAUCCAACCUGCCGAUAACUCGGGGAUAGCCUUUCGAAAGAAAGAUUAAUACCCGAUGGCAUAAUAGAACCGCAUGGUUUGAUUAUUAAAGAAUUUCGGUUAUCGAUGGGGGUGCGUUCCAUUAGGCAGUUGGUGGGGUAACGGCCCACCAAACCUUCGAUGGAUAGGGGUUCUGAGAGGAAGGUCCCCCACAUUGGAACUGAGACACGGUCCAAACUCCUACGGGAGGCAGCAGUGAGGAAUAUUGGUCAAUGGACGAGAGUCUGAACCAGCCAAGUAGCGUGAAGGAUGACUGCCCUAUGGGUUGUAAACUUCUUUUAUAUGGGAAUAAAGUGGUCCACGUGUGGAUUUUUGUAUGUACCAUAUGAAUAAGGAUCGGCUAACUCCGUGCCAGCAGCCGCGGUAAUACGGAGGAUCCGAGCGUUAUCCGGAUUUAUUGGGUUUAAAGGGAGCGUAGGUGGACAGUUAAGUCAGUUGUGAAAGUUUGCGGCUCAACCGUAAAAUUGCAGUUGAUACUGGCUGUCUUGAGUACAGUAGAGGUGGGCGGAAUUCGUGGUGUAGCGGUGAAAUGCUUAGAUAUCACGAAGAACUCCGAUUGCGAAGGCAGCUCACUGGACUGCAACUGACACUGAU